rnacentral:rRNA from 1 species
UAGGGAAUAUUAGAAAUGGACGAAAGUCUGAUCUAGCAACACCGCGUGUGCGAAGAAGGCCUUCGGGUUGUAAAGCACUUUUUGGAAGGAUUAGGAAGGAAUGUACUUCCAGAAUAAGUCUCGGCUAACACGUGCCAGCAGCCGCGGUAACACGUAGGAGGCAACGUUAUCCGGAUUUACUGGGCGUAAAGCGCGUGUAGGUGGUUCUGUAAGUAGGGCGUGAAAGCUCCUGGCUCAACUGGGAGAGGCCGGUUCUAAACUGCAGAGCUAGAGGAUGGUAGAGGGAGGUGGAAUUCCGGGUGUAGCGGUGGAAUGCGCAGAUAUCCGGAGGAACACCGAGUGGCGAAAGCGGCCUCCUGGACCAUUCCUGACACUCAGACGCGAAAGCUAGGGUAGCAAA